AACAGCACAAACCUGCAGGAACAUUUUUAUAACAAACUCCAACCUGGUAAUCCAACAAUAGAGAUCUAUUGUAGAAUUAAUACUAAUAGAUCUAUAAAGAAACUGUGAAAAUUAAGAAAAUAAUGUUUAACGCCCUUUUUUCAACAGAAUCACAGCUGUUUUUUAAAAAUGAAACCCAUCCUUCAUCCGAAGACUGGGACACUGGAAAUGUUACGCAGGGCGUUGAUAUAAUGGCCGAAUCACCAACUCUACCUUCAGAUAAUAUCACUACAGACACAUUUCAAACAGAUGCUGAACCAGAACCAGAGUUGUUUUAUGAAGGAGACCACGUUGGGACUUUGAAUGACUCAGAGGCUCUAAACGUCACAGAGGGGUGGAUAAACCCAUCAGGAGGUCAGUAAACUUUAAAACUUCUACUUUUUGUGCUGAGAUUUGAUACCUAACAGGAUGUUUUUAUAUUAUAGUUGCGCUUGGGACAAAACAAAACGGUGAU